UACGAAGGGUGCUAGCGUUGUUCGGAAUCACUGGGCGUAAAGCGCGCGUAGGCGGCUUUUCAAGUCAGGGGUGAAAUCCUUGGGCUCAACCCAAGAACUGCCUUUGAAACUGUAAAGCUGGAGUGUCGGAGGGGAUAGCGGAAUUCCUAAUGUAGUGGUGAAAUACGUAGAUAUUAGGAGGAACACCGGUGGCGAAGGCGGCUAUCUGGACGACAACUGACGCUGAGGCGGCGAAAGCGUGGGGAGCGAACAGG
rnacentral:rRNA from 1 species